GACGAACGCUGGCGGCGUGCCUAAUACAUGCAAGUAGAACGCUGAAGGCGGAGCUUGCUCUUCUGGAUGAGUUGCGAACGGGUGAGUAACGCGUAGGUAACCUGCCUGGUAGCGGGGGAUAACUAUUGGAAACGAUAGCUAAUACCGCAUAACAGUAGCUGCUGCAUGACAUUUGCUUAAAAGGUGCAAUUGCACGGCUACCAGAUGCACCUGCGUUGCAUUAGCUAGUUGGUGGGGUAUCGGCGCACCAAGGCGACGAUCCAUAGCCGACCUGUGAGGGGGAUCGGCCACACUGGGACUGAGACACGGCCCAGACUCCUUCGGGAGGCGGCAGUAGGGAAUCUUCGGCAAUGGGCGGAAGUCUUACCGAGCUACGCCGCGGGAGUGAGGAAGGUUUUCGGAUCGUAAAGCUCUGUUGUAGGAGAAGAACGAGUGUGAGAGUGGAAAGUUCACACUGUGACGGUAUCUUACCAGAAAGGAACGGCUAACUACGUG
rnacentral:rRNA from 1 species